rnacentral:rRNA from 1 species
CCUACGGGAGGCAGCAGUGAGGAAUAUUGGUCAAUGGACGAGAGUCUGAACCAGCCAAGUAGCGUGAAGGAUGACGGCCCUAUGGGUUGUAAACUGCUUUUAUAAAGGGAUAAAACGAGGCACGUGUGCCGUGUUGCAUGUACUGUAUGAAUAAGGAUCGGCUAACUCCGUGCCAGCAGCCGCGGUAAUACGGAGGAUCCGAGCGUUAUCCGGAUUUAUUGGGUUUAAAGGGAGCGUAGUUGGGUUGUUAAGUCAGUUGUGAAAGUUUGCGGCUCAACCGCAAAAUUGCAAUUGAUACUGGCAGUCUUGAGUUCAGUUGCGGUAGGCGGAAUUCGUGGUGUAGCGGUGACAUGCUUAGAUAUCACGCAGAACCCCGAUUGCGCAGGCAGCUUACUAAACUGUGACUGACAUUGAUGCUCGAAAGUGUGGGUAUCAAACAGGAUUAGAUACCCGGGUAGUC